rnacentral:rRNA from 1 species
GUGUCAGCCGCCGCGGUAAUACGGAGGGUGCAAGCGUUAUUCGGAUUUAUUGGGCGUAAAGGGCGUGUAGGCGGUUUGACAAGUCAGGUGUGAAAGCCCUUGGCUUAACCAAGGAAGUGCACUUGAAACUGUCAGACUUGAGUACGGGAGGGGGAAGUGGAAUUCCAGGUGUAGAGGUGAAAUUCGUAGAUAUCUGGAGGAAUACCGGUGGCGAAGGCGACUUCCUGGACCGAUACUGACGCUGAGACGCGAAAGCGUGGGGAGCAAACAGGAUUAGAUACCCCCGUAGUCC